rnacentral:rRNA from 1 species
GUGCCAGCCGCUGCGGUAAUACGGAGGGUGCAAGCGUUAUUCGGAAUGACUGGGCGUAAAGCGCACGCAGGCGGAUAAGUAAGUCAGAUGUGAAAGCCCCGGGCUUAACCUGGGAAUUGCAUUUGAAACUGCUUGUCUAGAGUAUGUCAGAGGAAGGCGGAACUUCCAGUGUAGCAGUGAAAUGCGUAGAUAUUGGAAAGAACACCGAUGGCGAAGGCAGCCUCUGGGCAAUACUGACGCUCAUGUGCGAAAGCGUGGGUAGCAAACGGGAUUAGAUACCCCGGUAGUCCACGCCCUAAACGAUGUCAACUAGGUGUUGGGACCUUGAGUUCUCGGUACCGG